rnacentral:rRNA from 1 species
CCUACGGGCGGCUGCAAUGGGGAAUAUUGCACAAUGGGCGCAAGCCUGAUGCAGCCAUGCCGCGUGUGUGAAGAAGGCCUUCGGGUUGUAAAGCACUUUCAGCGGGGAGGAAGGCGGUGAGGUUAAUAACCUCAUCGAUUGACGUUACCCGCAGAAGAAGCACCGGCUAACUCCGUGCCAGCAGCCGCGGUAAUACGGAGGGUGCAAGCGUUAAUCGGAAUUACUGGGCGUAAAGCGCACGCAGGCGGUCUGUCAAGUCGGAUGUGAAAUCCCCGGGCUCAACCUGGGAACUGCAUUCGAAACUGGCAGGCUAGAGUCUUGUAGAGGGGGGUAGAAUUCCAGGUGUAGCGGUGAAAUGCGUAGAGAUCUGGAGGAAUACCGGUGGCGAAGGCGGCCCCCUGGACAAAGACUGACACUCAGGUGCGAAAGCGUGGGGAGCAAACAGGAUUAGAUACCCCGGUAGUC